AACGAACGCUGGCGGCGUGCCUAACACAUGCAAGUCGAGCGAGAAAGCCCGCAAGGGUGAGUACAGCGGCGCACGGGUGCGUAACACGUGAGUAAUCUGCCCUGGAGCCCGGAAUAACCUCCCGAAAGGGAAGCUAAUGCCGGAUGAGCCCACGGGGUCUUCGGACCCAGAGGGAAAAGGCGGCCUCUGUAUACAAGCUGUCACUUCAGGAUGAGCUCGCGGCCCAUCAGCUAGUUGGCGGGGUAAUGGCCCACCAAGGCUACGACGGGUAGCUGGGCUGAGAGGACGAUCAGCAACACUGGAACUGAGACACGGUCCAGACUCCUACGGGAGGCAGCAGUGGGGAAUCUUGCGCAAUGGGCGAAAGCCUGACGCAGCAACGCCGCGUGUGUGAUGAAGGUCUUCGGAUCGUAAAGCACUGUCGCGAGGGACGAAUAAGGCGCACGCUAACAUCGUGCGACGAUGACGGUACCUCGAGAGGAAGCACCGGCUAACUCUGUGCCAGCCGCCGCAGUAAGAC
rnacentral:rRNA from 1 species